rnacentral:rRNA from 1 species
CCUACGGGUGGCAGCAGUGAGGAAUAUUGGACAAUGGCCGGAAGGCUGAACCAGCCAUGCCGCGUGAGGGUCAGUGCCCUAUGGUCGGUAAACUUCUUUUGUCCGGGAGCAAUAAUGCUCACGUUUGGCCAGACGAGAGUACCGUACGAAUAAGCAUCGGCUAACUCCGUUCCAGCAGCCGCGGUUAUACGGGGGAUGCAAGCGUUAUCCGGGUUUAUUGGGUUUUAAGGGUGCGUAGGCUGUGAGGUAAGUCAGCGGUGAAAUGCCCCCGGCUAACGGGCUGAAGUGCCAUUGAUACUGGCUUGCUGGAAUGCGGGAGAGGUAGGAGGAAUGUGUGGUGUAGCGGUGAAAUGCAUAGAUAUCA